rnacentral:rRNA from 1 species
GACGAACGCUGGCGGCGUGCUUAACACAUGCAAGUCGAACGGAAAGGCCCUGCUUUUGUGGGGUGCUCGAGUGGCGAACGGGUGAGUAACACGUGAGUAACCUGCCCUUGACUUUGGGAUAACUUCAGGAAACUGGGGCUAAUACCGGAUAGGAGCUCCUGCUGCAUGGUGGGGGUUGGAAAGUUUCGGCGGUUGGGGAUGGACUCGCGGCUUAUCAGCUUGUUGGUGGGGUAGUGGCUUACCAAGGCUUUGACGGGUAGCCGGCCUGAGAGGGUGACCGGCCACAGUGGGGCUGAGAUACGGCCCAGACUCCUACGGGAGGCAGCAGUGGGGAAUAUUGCACAAUGGGCGGAAGCCUGAUGCAGCAACGCCGCGUGCGGGAUGACGGCCUUCGGGUUGUAAACCGCUUUCGCCUGUGACGAAGCGUGAGUGACGGUAAUGGGUAAAGAAGCACCGGCUAACUACGUG